rnacentral:lncRNA from 1 species
AAAAGGGCUCCCUAGGAGUACCUAGGACACUUUGGGUGCUAACACCUUCCCUCUAUGUAACCAACCCCCUUACCUGUAAUCUCGGGCAUUUUAUUAGUUUUGAUUUGAAAACUUCUUAUUUUUGGGUUUUGUUAAUACUUUUCCUUUUUCCCGUGGAAACAAUAAAAGCGCGGUGGCGACUCUUGUUAUUCGAUGUCUAGCUUAUCCAUAGCUUGAUGAUCACGAAUUUACCGCUACACUCUUAAAAUCGGCCGUGAUUGCAUAUGAUGGUCAGAAGACUGUUGUUUCUCUGUUGAUUAUUCGUUUGAUGGGUCCUACGCCUUACAAGUCUGAUAAAGUCGUGCCUUACAAGUAUAAUGCUACUAUGGUGGAAGACGACAAAAAGGCGCAUAUUCCUUCUUUCUUGUAUGUUGUAAACAUUUCUGAUGUAAGUGGUAUGACCCAAAAUGGUCGGAUAUUUGUUGUUGCAGCUCCUAAGAAGAUUGAAGAUGUUGUGAUAGAGAAAUCAACUCAAGAGAAAACUCAUGUUAUGUAGACCGGCCAAUCCAGCAGUGUGAAUCAGAAUGCUAAUCAAGAUGAAGUGCUGAAAUUGAUUAAGAAAAGUGAUUUCAAUAUGAUGGACUAGUUGUUGCACACUCCAUCCAAGAUAUAUGUAUUAUCUUUACUGAUGAGUUCAUAAGCUCAUCGAGACGCUCUGUAGAAGGUCCUAGAGAGAGGCCUAUGUGGACCACGACAUGACAAUUGAUCAAUUUGAUGGCAUUAUGUCUAAUAUUACUGCAUGUAACAAUCUGAGUUUCAAGGAUGAAGAGUUACCCGAGCAGGGGAGGAACCACAAUUUGGCCAUGUAUAUCUCUAUGAAAUGUCAGGAAGAUUCCCUGUUCAAUAUGAUGGUCGAUAUUGGUUCUUCUCUGAAUAUGCUUCCUAAAUCCAUGUUGUCUAAGAUUGCUUACCAAGGUACUCUGAUGAGAUUCGGUGAAGUUGUUGUGAAGGCCUUCGUUGGCUCGAGGAAGACUGUGAUUGGGGAGGUUGAUCUCCCAAUAAAGAUAGGUUUGUACUUAUUUUAGAUCACUUUUCAAGUGAUAGAUAUUCAUCCCGCCUACAGUUGUUUCUUAGGACAUCUAUGGAUUCAUGAGGAUGGGGCAGUUACAUCAACUCUACACCAGAAGUUGAAGUUUGUGAAGAAUGGAAAGUUAGUGAUCGUGGGUGGCGAGCAGACCAUGUUGGUGAGCCAUCUCUUUUCAUUUUUGUGCAUUGAUGCUGACGAAGAUAAGGGAACAUCGUUUCGAGCUCUUUCUGUUGAUAAUAUUGCUAAUAAGAAGAAUGGUGAAUCCAUGUCAUACUUGAAGGAUGCCCAACAUGUGUUGAAGAAUGGUCAAUUUACUAAGUGAAGACAAAUUGAUGAGCUUGCCGAGAACAAGAACAAAGUCGGUUUGGGUUUUUCACCUGGUGCAACUCGAAGAGAUUUGAAGCGAAUUCUGAAGGUGUUUCAGAGUGUUGCCUUUAUUCAUUCCAGAGAUCAGUCUGCUACCAUAAUUUUAGAAGAUGAUGAAGAGUAAGAAGUGUCAAACUUUGUGACACGUGGAUCGAUAUCCCAGAACUGGAUUGAUGUUGAUGUUCCUUCUGUUAUUCACUUAUCGAAGUAAUGUGUUUUUUUUGUCAUUUUCAAAAAUAUUUCACUAUGCCCAAGGUGAAAGUGGAUCUAUGUGGGUUUUGUUUCAAAUUUUGUCAUAAUUAAUAAAAUGUUAUUUCGUUUAUCCAUAUUAUUAUUUUCCUUUUUCUUUUUCUGGAAAAAAUAGUAACAUGAAAAACAAGAUAAUAAUCACUUUUAUAUAUGUAUCAUAAUAUGCGUUUAUUUGUUCAUAUUCUAAAAUCAAGCAUAAAAUCAUUGUGCAGAUUAAUUGUGUUGAUUCUAAGUGUUGGCAGCAAUUUUGGUAAAACAAAGAGUGUUCACAAGAUGUCAUAUGUGAUGUCUUAACAUGAGAUAUCCUAUGUACCUGCUGGAGUUAAAGAAGAUAUGCAAGCAGGAUUGUUUCAGAAUGCCACAUACAAAGACAAGGCUUCUGAUAUUGGUUGUACCGCUGGCGCCUUAACUGGAAGACAUCUUCAUGCAGGAUUUGUUUCAUGUAUGACGAAUACUACAUGUUCAUGGUGAUCUGAUAUGGUUGUACGCUCUGAUAAAAAGAAAUAUGGGAGAUGCAGGAUUUUCCAGAUGCAACCCGAGUCAUGUACAUGCUGUACACAGGAACAUAGCAGUAAUGAAUGGUUGUGUUUUGUGAUUGCACAGUUAUAUGGCAAUGCAUGUGGUGCUGAUUGAGAGCAUGAUAGUGGCAAGGUGGCAUUACAGGGGCAUGUGCGAACCCGAUGUGUUUUUUCCAAGGAGAUUUCGCUUUGAUUGAGGAGAUUGUGUAUUUAGAGGUUUUCGCAGAGGUCCAGUGUGUCGUAUGGGACCUGGCGCAGAAAAGUUCUGUGUUGAACACACAACCAAGACUGAGCGAAAUUUAGAGAGAGAGCUAGGGUUUGUGUCUGUAGGUCAUUCAAGUCAUCCAUAGAUGAUUGAAUUGGACUGAUUUGUCUUCUUGAUCAAAGCUUUGAAGUAAGAUCAAGAGUGUGUCUUCUUAAUUGAAACUGUGAAGUAAAAUCAAGAGUUUUGUAAUUGAAAAGUAUUUUCUUUUCACAAGGGAUUGUUGUUUAAGAUUACGGGGUUGUGAUUGUAAGGGAAGUGAGUGGGUUCUCAUAUCUAAGAGUGCUUAGGUAGAAAUUGCACGGGUAGAGAUUAGGUGAGAAAGACUGUAACUUGGUAAAGUGUACGGAUAGUCUUUGAACUAAUUCUAUUAUAGUGGAUUUCCUUCCUGGCUUGGUAGCCCCCAAAUGUGGGUGAGUUGCACCGAACUGGGUUAACAAUUGCUUGUGUAAAAUGCUUUAUAAUUUUGUUUAAAUUAUCCAUUGUGUAUUAACAGAUAUCAGUGUCAUGACAUUACCUUCGACGUCUUAUAUCUGAUACCAGAAUUUCAAUUGGUAUCAUAGCAGGCAUCCUGCUCUGGCUCUGGGUGAGAUCUAGGGAGAAUACUUUUUGGUACAAUGGAGAGGGAUGGAGGAUCUGUUCAUAGGCCACCAAUUUUGGAUGAUUCUAACUAUGACUAUUGAAAACCAAGAAUGGUAGCCUUUUUAAAAUCCCUUGAUAACAAGGCUUGGAAAGCUGUCUUGACAGGCUGGGUGCAUCCUGUAGUUACUAAAGAAGGAGAAGUCUCUUUUGAGAAAAAGCCUGAAGAACAAUGGUCCAAGGAGGAGGAUGACCUAGCCCUUGGAAAUUCUAAAGCUUUGAAUGCCAUCUUCAAUGGAGUGGAAAAGAAUAUUUUCAGGCUGAUAAAUAACUAUGAAGUAGCCAAAGAGGCUUGGGACAUUCUCAAGACCACUAGUGAAGGCACCUCUAGGGUAAAGAUGUCUAGACGUCAGCUGCUCACCUCCAAGUUUGAAAACUUAAGGAUGAAAGAAGAUGAAAACAUUCAUGAAUUUCACAUGAGUAUCCUUGAGAUGGGAGAGAAUGUCCAGAUGAAAAGUUCAGUAAGAAAAUACUCAGAUCACUCCCUAAGAGAUUUGGCUUAAUGAAGGUACUGCCAUGACGAAGAGUCUCAAGACCAAACCUUUGAGUUAGGGUUGAAUGAUGGUGUUGAAAGGAAAACAAAGAGCAUUGCCUUCAUGUCAAACACAGAAGAGGAUAAGAGUCAGGAGGGUGAUGAAGAUCUUGUAAAUGAACUAGCUAUGUUGGGGAGGCAGUUUAAUAAACUAUUGAAAAAGAUGGAUGUAAGAUUAAAGGCAAAUGUCAAGAACAUCUCAUCUCACAUCAGUAAAUCCAACAAUGCUGGAAGAAAAACAAGAGCAGAUGAGAAGCCCAAAGAAGGAAAAGAAGUUCAGUGCUUUGAAUGUGAUGGGUAUGGACACAUCAGGGCUGAAUGUGGAACCUACCUCAAGAAACAGAAGAUGAGUCUUGCUGCCACAUGGUCUGAUGAGAGUGAUACUGAAGAGGCUGCAAAUCUUGUGACUGCUUUGACAGGAAGAUGGGAAUCUAACGAAGAGUCAAGUGAUGGUGAAGUAACCUUUGAGGAAUUGGCCUCUACAUACAGAGAGUUGUGUUAGAAAAGUGUUGAGCUGAACAAGCAGUCUUUAAAUCAGGAGAAAGACAUAACUCAACUUGAGAAUGAGAAGGUAGAAUUCUUGGAAACCAUCUCCAAAUUGAAAACAGAAGUUGUGGCUCUAAAAGUCAAGGGCUAGAUGAAGAUCAACAAGUUGAGGCAGAGAUAGUCCAACUGGAGAAAGAAAAAGCAGAACAUGUGGAAACCAUCUUCAAGCUAAAGACUGAAGUUGUGCUCUUAAACUCAAAACUAGAAGAGACAACCAAGUAUGUAAGGAUGCUGAUCAAUGGAUCUGACUCCUUAGACAAGAUUCUUCCAACUGGACAAAUCACAGGAGUCAAAUCUGGAUUAGGGUACCAUGAAACUAAGGCUAGAAGUAGUUACACUAGCUGCAAACCUCAAGCUAAACCUAAAUGCAGCAAUAGUAAGAGCAGGUCCAAGAUGUCACAUCAUAUGUCACACCAUCAGAAGAAAGAACAGCAGAAAAACAAGCACCAAAGAUGGAGAUGUCAUUACUGUUGGAAAUUUGGACACUCAAGGCCCUUCUGCUAUAAGUUGUAUGGUUACCUUACCUCCUUUCAUCAACAGAAGAGAAAACAGCAGGAUGGCAAACACCAAAAAUGGAGAUGUCAUUACUGUGGGAAAUCUGGACACUCUAGGUCCUCCCGUUAUAAGCUGUAUGGUUAUCCUAGCCAUGUUCAUCAACAAACCUACUAUGGACCCAGACCCAAAUAUCACAGGCCUAUCAACAAGAAGCAAUGGGUUCCUAAGACUAAUGUUCUAAGUCUAAUAGCUCACAAAGAAGAGUGGUAUUUUGAUAGUGGAUGCUCUAGACACAUGACUGGGAAAUCAGACCUGAUAACUGAUCUUCACCCUCAUGACUUAAGCUAUGUAACCUUUGAUGAUGGAGCUAAAGGUGAAAUAAAGGGGAUAGGCAAGCUUGAGUGCCCUGGAGCUCCUAAACUUGACAAUAUUCUUCUGGUCAAGGGCCUGACUUCAAAUUUAAUAAGCAUUAGUCAGCUAGGGGAUCAAGGUCUGAGUAUCAUCUUCACUAAAACUGAAUGUCAGAUUGUGAACAAAGACAGUGAAGUAAUUAUGAAAGGAAUUAGGACCAACAACAACUGCUACAUGUGGAGCUCUCAAAUGGAUAAUUCCUCUAAGAUAAGCACAGUUGCAAGAAGAAUCUUCAAGGGAAAAGAAAAGUGUCAGAUAAGGAUGCCAAGCCUCAAGGAAGAAAAGGUCAUGAUGGCCCAAACACCUGAACAUAUGACUGGUGGUAUGAAGUCUGAAGGUAGUAAAAACCUUGCUGAGACACAAGGGACUAUGAGUGCAAAGGAAAUUAAGAAGACAUCAGAUGAAAGUAACAAUGCUCAACCAAGUUGGAUAAAAAUUCUGACGAUUACAUACAAUGUCACACUCGAUGUUAUGACAUUAUAUUAUGACAGCCUAGAUGGUACACCUUUCAGCUGGACCAAGUACAUCACUUGCUUUCAUCACUCAUGUAGAAAAUAUGUUGAAAACAAACUCAUAGUUCUACAGCAUGAAAUGCAACUAACCAACAGGACUGCAAGGGAUUAACAUCACUUGCUUUCAUCACUCAUGUAGAAAAUAUGUUGAAAACAAACUCAUAGUUCUACAGCAUGAAAUGCAACUAACCAACAGGACUGCAAGGGAUUGGUAUGUUGUUCAACUAAAAUAUGAAAAAUUAGGGGUUUGGUUUCUUGAGAAAAUAUGGCAAUUAAUGAGGAGUGGAAAAGGCAACAAGAAUAUUGUCUGCCCAAUGAAAAGAAAAAGCCACAUUACUAAUGUACCAUCUCUUAGUAUUGGAAAUAGCACACUCUGCCUGAACACAAUCAAACUUAUCAAAGAACCUCUGCUAGGGCAAAGAAAGUUUUCUCAAAAGUUCAGCAACAUGUCUCAACAUCCGUCAACAUCUAGCUCAAAAUCCUUUCAGACUAGAACUUCCUCCAUGGAAUUUUUAGAUGAAGAUUUGAUGGAAGUAACUCCUCUGCGUAUGAUACCAGGUAACAUUCCAAGCUCACCUUCCGUGGCUAAAGCUAAGCAAGGUAACACUCCUAAAAAAUCGCCUGAUAAGAGAGGACAUGCACUCUACUGAUCGCAUCAUAAGAAACCUAGUUACUAUCAUACUGAAGGAAGAGCAUGGAGUUAAGGACACUUUUACCCCUCUGUCCAGAAGGGAACCCUCACCUGAGGUGGAAAGCCAAGCUGAGAAAGAUGAUAACUCAUCUAAAACAGAAAAGGAAGUAGCUGCUGAGGGUCUGUGUUCUCUUGGAAAAAACUUACCUAGUAUGUCCCCUGAUACUGCUCAGGACAUUAAGGAAGAAAGGUCUGAGGAAGAAGAUGACACGUUGGUCAAUCUUGUGAAAACAAGUGUAGCUAAUAGACUGAGAAAGAGGAAGAGUAUGGCUGAGAUAAGGACAUGUAGGAAAGAGAAAAGGGUUGCUGGUAUAGGUCCCUCCAAAUCUUGGAGUAAAGUAGAGGUCAGGAAGAAGAAAGACAAUGAAAGUUCUGAAUCUAAUGAGAAUGUUGAAGACGAUGUUCCAGACAUCUCCUCUGACAAAAGAAAGGCUGUAAAGAAAGUAGUUGCUGAGCAUCUAGACAAAUGGAGGUUUGUCACUGAUCAAACCAUCAGACAUGCCUCCACCAAUGCUGUAAAGUUACCCAUUGCAUUCCCAUCUAUCAUUUGUGGGAUCAUCCUGGGUCAACAACCAGGAAUCCUGAGUACAAGUGAUAUUCCAAGCAGGAGAAAAACUCCUUUGUCCAUUCAUUAUAAGUUGUUUGAGGGAAGUCAUGUCAAUGAUGUCAUGACAUCUGCCAGAAGGGAGUCUACAGCUAAAGGAAGCUUGAUUGACCAACUGAAAGAGAACUGCAAGGAAUUGGACAAUGGUAUAAGGGUGGCCAAGGCCAGAAAAGAAGCUCUAGAAGUUCUCAUCUGUAGCCUGGAAAGGGAAGACAUAGAAAAGGCUGGAAAAGACUCAAAUACAAGAUCCCAAUCCAGUUCUGAAAGCUCAGAAGACUCUGAAGGUGAAGCUGAAGAUGAAGAUGAAGGUGAAGGAGAUACUUCUUCUUCUGAUUAAUGGUUCCUGCCUGAAUUGAAGACUUGGAGGGGUGCUGGAAGGUGUGGUGGAAGCUGGGCUGCUGGUGCACAGGUGUCUGAUAUGGUGCACAGGUGUUGUUGUUGAAGCAGAUGUCAGUAUGACAUUCUGGCUGGUACAGGUGAUGGAGUUACAGUAGCUGUUUUUUGAUGAAUGCACAGAUUUAGGGGGGGAGAAGUACCCUUGUGCAUUGUGCAUUUGUGUGUCUUACUAGUUGCAUCCAUAACUAGUAAUUCUGUUGAUUGUUGCACAGAUUGAGGGGGAGGAGAAAUACCCUUGUGCAUGUGUGUAUUACUAGUAGCCAUAGCUAGUAAUUGUUUUUUGCUUCUGCUGCUGAUUAAACUACUGUUAUGUGGUUUAAACUGCUGAUAGUUUGCCUUGUGAACAAAAAGGACAGAUAUAUGUUUUAGCCAAAAUUUGCCAAAGGGGGAGUUUGUUGAUUCUAGUGUUGGCACAAUUUGGUAAAACAAAGAGUGUUCAAAGAUGUCAUGUGUGAUGUCUUAACAUGAGAUAUCCUAUGUACCUGCUGGAGUUAAAGAAGAUAUGCAAGCAGGAUUUUUCAUCAGAAUGCCACAUACAAAGACAAGGCUUCUGAUAUUGGUUGUACCUGCUGGAGCUUAACUGGAAGACAUAUUCAUGCAGGAUUGUUUCAGAUGACAUACACAAACUGUAACUUGGUAAAGUGUACGGAUAGUCUUUGAACUAAUUCUAUUAUAGUGGAUUUCCUUCCUGGCUUGGUAGCCCCCAAAUGUAGGUGAGUUGCACCGAACUGGGUUAACAAUUUCUUGUGUAAAAUGCUUUACAAUUCUGUUUAAAUUAUCCAUUGUGUAUUAACAGAUAUCAGUGUCGUGACAUUACCUUCGACAUCUUAUAUCUGAUACCAGAAUUUCAAAUUGUUAAACCCAUUGAAAAUAAUGACCCUAUGCCCUCUCCCAACUUUGAAUUUCCUGUGUUCUAAAUGGAAGAAGAGGAUGAUGAAGAGCUUCCUGAUGAGAUUUCUUAGUUGCUUGAGCACGAAGAAAAGACCAUUCAGCCUCAUAAAGAGCCGUUGGAAGUGAUUAAUCUGGGUUCCGAAGAUAACAAGAAAGAAGUCAAGAUUGGGGCACUGUUUUGUCCAGAUGUUAAGAAGAGUAUGGUAGAGCUUCUUAGAAAAUAUGUGGAUGUGUUUGCUUGGUCUUAUCAAGAUAUGCCAAAUUUUGAUACUGAUAUUGUGGAGCAUAGAUUACCAUUGAAGCCAGAAUGUCCGUCAGUUAAACAGAAAUUAAGAAGAAGUCACCCUGAUACGGCUGUCAAGAUUAAAGAAGAGGUGUAAAAGAAGAUUGAUGUUGGAUUCCAUGUUACUGCUUAAUACCCUCAAUGGGUAGCUAACAUUGUACCUGUUCCAAAGAAAGAUGGUAAAGUUCGGAUGUGUGUUGAUUAUAGAGACUUGAACAAAGCUAGUCCGAAAGAUGAUUUUCCUCUGCCACACAUUGACAUGUUAAUGAUAAUACAGCUAAGUCCAAUGUAUUCUCCUUUAUGGAUGGGUUCUCCGGUUAUAAUCAGAUCAAGAUGGCGCCCAAGGACAUGGAAAAGACAACAUUUAUUACACCCUGGGAAACAUUCUGCUAUAUAGUGAUGCCUUUCGGUUUAAAGAAUGUUGGUGCAACGUACUAGAGAGUCAUGACUACUCUUUUCCAUGAAAUGAUGCACAAAGAAAUAGAAGUUUAUGUUGAUGAUAUGAUUGCUAAGUCGAAGGCUGAAUAAGAUCAUGUUGAGUAUUUGUUGAUGUUGUUUAAGCGGUUGAGAAAGUUUAAACUCUGAUUGAAUCCUAAUAAGUGUACUUUUGGUGUCCGUUCAGGAAAACUAUUGGGUUUCAUUGUAAUCCAGAAAGGUAUUGAAGCAGAUCCUAAUAAAGUCAGAGUUAUUCAAGAUAUGUCUGCACCAAAGACAGAAAAGCAAGUUACAGGGUUCCUCGGAUGUCUGAAUUACAUAUCCAGAUUCAUAUCUCACAUGACUGUGAUGUGUGGGCAAAUAUUCAAGCUUCUCCGUAAAGAUCAAGGUUGUGUUUGGACAGAAGAUUUCCAGAAAGCUUUUGACAAUAUCAAGGAGUAUAUGCUUGAACUUCCUAUCUUGUCUCCUUCAGUGGAAGGAAGAUAUCUGAUUAUGUAUUUGACUUGUUAGAAGAGUCCAUGGGACGUGUGCUUGGACAACUAGAUGAAACUGGUAGAAAGGAGCAUGUCAUCUACUAUCUGAGCAAGGAGUUUACAAAUUGUGAAUCUCAGUAUUCCAUGCUUGAGAAGACUUGUUGUGGUUUAGCUUGGGCUACCAAACGUUUACGCCAGUAUAUAUCAAUCAUACCACUUGGUUGAUAUCCAAAAUGGAUCCAAUCAGGUAUAUUUUUGAAAAGCCUGCUCUGGAAGGAUAGCUCGUUGGCAAAUGCUAUUGUUUGAAUAUGAUAUUGAGUACCAUACUCAGAAGGCGGUUAAAGGAAGUAUUCUUGCAGAUCAUUUGGCUCACUAGCCAAUUGAUGAUUAUCAAUUCAUCAGGUUUUACUUCCCUGAUAAAGACAUUAUGUACUUAAAAGCUAAAGAUUACGAUGAACCGUUGCCUGAAGAAUGGCAAGAGCCUGCAUCUUGUUGGGGUUUAGUGUUUGAUAGAGUUAUUAAUGCUUAUGGUAAUGGAGUUGGGGAAAUCAUUUUUACUCCUAAGGGUUCACACGUCCCUUUUACUGCAAGAUUGAUGUUUGAUUGUACGAAUCAUAUGGCAGAAUAUGAAGCUUGUAUCAUGGGUCUUGAAGAGGCCAUUGAUUUGAGAAUUAAAAUCCUUGAUGUGUGUGGAGAUUCAGCCUUGGUGGUUAAUCAAAUUAAAGGAGAAUGAGAGACUCGUCAUCCUGGCUUGAUUCCUUACAAAGAUUAUACAAGGAGGUUGCCAACUUUCUUCAAUAAAAUAGAGUUUCAUCAUAUACCUCGUGAAGAGAAUCAGAUGGCAGACGCUCUGGCUACUCUGUCUUCUAUGUAUAAAGUAAAUCAUUGGAAUGACGCGCCCAGUAUCACAAUUAUGCUCCUUGAUAGACCUGCUCAUGUGUUUGCAGUAAAAGAAGUUACGGAUGAUAAGCCUUGGUAUCAUGAUAUUAAAGUUUUCCUCCAAAGUUAGGAAUACCCGCUUGGGGCAUCCAGCAAAGAUAAGAAGACUUUGAGAAGACUGGCUGGCAAUUUCUUUAUGAAUGAAGAUAUGUUGUACAAGAUAAACUUUGACAUGGUCUUGCUCAGAUGCGUGGAUAGACAUGAAGCAUACAUGUUAAUGCAAGAAGUUCAUGAAGGAUCCUUUGGUACUCAUGCCAAUGGACAGGCAAUGGCUAAAAAUAUGUUAAGGGCGGGUUACUAUUGGGUGACAAUGGAAUUUGAUUGUUGUAAAUAUGUGAAGAAGUGCCAUAAAUUUCAUAUUUAUGCUGAUAAGAUUCAUGUGCCACUGACACUUCUCAAUGUUAUCUCAUACCCAUGGCCUUUCUCUCUGUGGGGGAUCAAUAUGAUUGGUAUGAUUGAACCCAAAGCUUCGAAUGGACAUCAUUUCAUCCUGGUAGCUAUUGAUUACUUCACCAAAUGGGUUGAAGAAGCAUCUUAUGCUAAUGUGAUCAAGAAGGUUGUGGUCCAAUUUAUCAAGAAUCAGAUUAUUUGCCGAUAUGGUCUAUCAAGUAAGACCAUUACUAAUAAGGGUCGAACUUGAAUAACAAGAUAAUGAAAGAGCUUUGUGAAGACUUUAAGAUUUAACAUCACAAGUCUUCUCCUUGCAGACCUAAGAUGAAUGGGGUUGUUGAAGCUGCAAAUAAGAAUAUUAAGAAGAUUAUCCAGAAGAUGGUUAUGACGUAUAAAGAUUGUAAUGAGAUGCUCUCGUUCACUUUGCAUGGAUACCGUACGUUUAUCCGCACUUCAACAAGGGAAAUUCAUUUCUUUAUUGUGUAUGCAUGGAAUCCGUACUCCCUGUAGAGGUUGAGAUACCAUCAAUGCGAGUCCUGAUGGAAGCCAAUUUAUCUGAGGUUGAAUGGUGUUAGAGCAUAUAUGAUCAGCUGAAUUUGGUUCAAGAGAAGAGACUGACGGCCUUAUGUCAUGGCUAGUUAUAUAAAAAGAGAAUGAAGAAAGAAUUUGACAAGAAAGUUCGACCCCGCGUAUUCAGAUAAGGUGACCUUGUGCUUAAGAAGAUCUUGUCUUUCAACACUAAUUCUAGGGGCAAGUGGACUCCUAAUUAUGAAGGCCCGUAUGUUGUUAAGAGAGCUUUCUCUUAUGGUGCAUUGAUUCUUACAACUAUGGAUGGUGAGGAGCUCCCUCAUCCUGUGAAUGUCAAUACAGUCAAGAAAUACUUCUCCUAGAAAAAUAAAAGAAUAACUCACUAAGUUGAAAACCCGAAAGGGAGGCUUAGGAAAAAAUGAACAUUUCGGUGGAUUGAAAACCCGAAAGGGCGGUCCAGGAAAAAAUUAGAGACAUAAAUAUAAAAUAAUCACCCUCGGUAGAUUGACCCCGAAAAAGGAAAUCUAGGCAAAAGUUAGGGAUUAUGGCAAGUAAUUGCAUCAGGCCAGUUUGAAGCAACAAUGCCUAUCACAUGUUCCUUUUCCGUCAUCCUCGACCGAAGUCCAGAGCAUAGUGGAAUUCAAAGUUGUUAGGGAGAAUAGCAGUCAUUAUAUCUCAAUGUAUCCCUUUCCGUGUAUUUACCAUUUUCCAACUUUAUAAUGAUUCGUGGAGUCACACCAUUUGUGGACUCCAUCAAUAAAAUUUGAGUAUUUUGCCCAUUUGUUUGUUAUUCUUAUUUUGUUUUAGUUUAGGAAAUUUCAUUUAUUAUUUACCAUCAUUUUUGAAGCAAAAUAUAUAUUUAAACAAUCAUAUUCUUAAAAAUUUACAAAAAAAGAUAUGUAUUUUCCUCGACUUGUGAAUACAAAAGAGGAAUCUUAAUGGUAAUUCCAAGGAUGGUAAGAUCCUGAAGAAUGGAAUUCAGUGACUUCCCCAGGCCAAAUUUUCUUUUGUUACGUAUAAUAGUCUCCCCUGGAUCAGAUUGCGAGAAUGGUAGAAUCCCUAACGAAUCUCUUCCAGCAUCUCCAUCUUGUUCAGAUUAGUCAAGUAUCCGGUUGUACUAUGUUAUCAAUCUCACACUUUUGUGCUUGUUUUGUCAACAUAAUCAUACGCAUGUGCAUAUCAUCAUGAGGUUUAUUUACCAUUUUGCAUUUCUCGAUGCUCCCCCUGCUCUCUGGAACUUUUCUCCCCACAGAGUGUGUGCGUCUUCUCUCCAAUAGAGUGUCAACCUUAAGCAGAAAGAGUUUAUCUUUUCUAAUUCCCCACUGAGUUUGAUCCUCAUGGAAGAUUUUGUUUCAAUUUUUCUCUCCAGUUCAUUAUCUGGAUGGAAUCAAUCUCCAGUUGAGUUCAUGUCCUCAUUGGAUUGAGUCUUCUUUGACCGUUUCUCUCCAGUUCAUUCCUGGGUUGAACUUUGGUCCCUUUUGAGAUUAUUACCUUUGUUAAGCUAUCACUUGGCUUAUAGUAGGUAAUAUCUCUUUUGCCUUUGGCUUAUUACCUUUGUUAAGCUAUCACUUGGAUGAUAGUAGGUAAUAUCUCUUUUACCUUUGACUUAUUACUUUUGUUAAGCUAUCGCUUGGCUGAUAGUAAGUAAUAUCUCUUUCACCUUUGGCUUAUUACCUUUGUUAAGUUAUCACUUGGCUGAUAUUAGGUAAUAUUUCUUAUCUUUGGUUGGUUACCUUUGUUAAGUUACCACUUAGUUGGUAGUUGGUAAUCAUUAUGUUUUGGCUUAUUACCUUUUUUAAGUUAUCACUUGACUGAUAGUAGGUAAUGAUUCCUCUUACCUUUGUUUGGUUACCUUUGUUAAGCUAUCACUUGGCUGUUAGUUGGUAAUCAUUCCAUUUUAGCUUAUUAUCUUUGUUAAGCUAUCACCUGGUUGAUACUUAGGUAAUAUUCCUCUCAUAUUGGAGUUGGAGUUUUCCCCUUUUGAUGAUUUCUUUUCCCUGGCGAGGUCUUGCUUUGAUAAGUAUUUCCCCGUUGGAUCUUUAGUUUGUUUUCUAAUUGUGCAUUGGUUAUUCUCGAGUCUUUCCUUUUCCCCUACGGAAUUUUGUUUGUCCCUAGCCGGGUAUCCCUGUAGAAACUAACCCCCCCCCCCCACAACCCACACACACACACACACACAGAGAUAUUUUGGUUUGCAUUCAUAUCAUAUCAUAAGCAUCUUGCGGUAUCUUAAGGCCAAAAAAAUGGGUCUUUAAUAUUUAAGUCUCUUUAAUCUUUUCGAGACAAAGAUUUCAACCUUCAUAUCUCUAAAUUGAAGAAACUUAAAUAGGGUCAUCUGUCAUACCCUAAUUUUUAACCCUAAGAUCCCACAUAUCAUUUGCAUCAUUUGCACACAAACAAUAUCACAUCUUGGUCCUUUAUCCAUCUUUAGGUUUGCUUUUUGUUGGCUUAUUUUACCUUUGUGUUUACAUGAUUAAUUUCUUAUCUAACCACUGAUCAAAAUAGCAAAAAAUAUGUAUUGUUUCCCUUAAGUUUAUUAUGAAAGGUAAUGGUUUUUCAAUCAAAAUCAUCUCAAAGUCUUUGGCUUACUUUUCAAAGAAAGUCAAAGGUUCAUGUGUUUAUUUCCAUGCCUUCUUCAAUAAGCAACUUCAAGCUUUGAUAAAUUUAAGCAAUAGGAAAUCAAGGACACCUUAUCUUGAGUUCAUAUGAUCACCCAUGUGCUUUGAAAUUCAAGGAAAGUCCAAGUACACAAGCUUGUUCCAAGAGGUUUGACCAAAAGUCAACCAUUUUAAGUCAAAGUUCCAAGGAUCAUAACUCUUUCAAUUCUCAACAUUUUUGAAUUCUUCUUUUUGCAUAUGACUAUUCUCAACAUCUUAUACAACUUCUCUUUACAUGACAAGAGCCAAUUAUGCUCGGAGGAUCAUCAAAUGUUUUGAGACAUUAUAGGUCAUUUGUGGACUUAGUGAAAUUUAACCUAUUUUCAAAUGACUUUUUCCCAACUUUCAAAGACCAUAACUUCUUAAAUUUUCAACAUAUGUGGCUGAUUAUUUUUGCACAAUAUCAUUUGUGAUGCCAUCUACAAGUUUUCUUCAAGGACCAAGGUUAGAAUAUGCUUUGAAGGUCAUGGAAUUCAUUGAGACAUUACAAAUUAUUUUCAGCCAUGAAGUACUCAAAUGUUUCUAAGUUAUAUGAUCGGUUUUUCAUGUCAACUUCAACAUGACAUAACUUUAUGCUCAAGCUUCCAAAUUCAACCUUUAUUGGCACAUUGUAAUCUUUUCCAUGAUAUUAACACAUUUCAAAAAGAAUGGGAUCAAAAAGUCUCCUGAGUAGAGUACCCCAUUGGGUUGAAUAUGGUGACUUGUAACUGAAGAAAUAGCCAUUGCCAGAGUCUUGAACUUCAUUAAUCUCAAUUACAAGCCAAAUUUGCAUGUGUUUUGGACCUAAACAUGUUUAACCAAGUCUCCAGAAGAUAAUUAACUCUUAAAAUGCAUCAUUUGGCUGAGUUUUGAGGAGUUUCAAGUCACACUUUUCUCACAUUCAGAUCAAAUUCAUUUUGCAUGAAUUCUGCAUCAUUUCACACGUAUUUGGAUCCAAUCAUAUUCCUUAUAAAUAUAGGGAGCUAUUGCAUUCAUUUCCAAGCUUUGGAGAGCCAAGAAAUCCCUACUGCAACUUGAAAUUUUUCCAGAAAAUACAACGAUCGUGUUUUGAGUUUCAGCUUGUUUCAAUCUAAUUUCUUGAUUCCAUUAGCACCUUCGGAAUCCUCUGAAACUUUUGCAACAAUUCCCAAAUUCUGAGACCUUCUGAAGUGCUCUAACCAGAUCUAGUUUCAUCAACUUCUGAUCACCAUUUGGAUAAGGUAGUUCUGAGCAUCAUUUGAACUCAAACAAGUUACCAUAAUCUGAUGAUUUCCCCUAACUUAUUUGGUGUUGAUUGAUCGUGUUCAUCAUUUAAUUUUAUUUUUCGUGGCUUGCUUGUUUCUGAAACUUCUAUGAAAUUCCCUUUGCUCAGUUUACAUAAAUGAAUUUGGAGCAUGAGGUUGAAUUCUGGAUGAGAAGAGGAUCACAAUUGUGGUGGUCUCGUGUUUUGAAUUUACCAAACGACGAAGCUCCAGUGAGAGCUCACCAGAGAAGACGGCCGUAUUUUUCUCAGGUUGUCUGAGUUUGGUCAGACACGUUUGAGGAAUGAAAUAUUAUGAUUGGUUGGAUUUAAAUUGGAUUCUGUGUUUGACUUAUAGCGCAUUUCAUCGUGUUCUCUAACAUAUGAAGUGUUGGAUCUGCCACGUCAAUUAAUGAGGUGUGAUCCAACGUUCCGUGUUUUUUAUGAUUUUAAUUCUUUUUCUUUUAUUAUUUUUAAUUUCUUUUUCUUUUAAAAUUCAUAGUAAUUUCAUUUUUUAUCCAAAAUAAUUUCUAAAAUUCUCUUUUGUUUUUCUUCAUCUGAUUUUUAUUUUUUCACAUUUUAUUUCACUGAUUUUCUAUUUUUCAUGAAUUUUGUCUUUUCCCCUUUGUUCUAAUUGGUUUAAAAAUAAUUUUCUGCAUUUUUAAAUUCUGAAAAUUUUAUUAUAUGCUUUUUAUUUCAUUUCCAACCUUCCAUAAUAUUCUUAGCCAUUUAUUUGGUGUUUUGAAGGACUUUAUGGAUUUUCCAUUUUAUUUCUAUUUUAAAAUUACUUUUGGUGCAUUUUUUAUUUCAUUUAAUUUCAUUUUAUAUAUGUGAACUUCUGUUGGCCAUGGACCAUGAUGGUUUGGACUUCAAGUUUCAUCAAACUCAAUGGAUCUUGGGUGUUGAUGGGGUGAGUAUCCUAAUCCAUCAAAAUGGAUGAUUGAUUUUGAUGAUGACUUGAUCAAACCUUUGGUCCAAUUUGGGUAUGACUUUUCUUGUCUCCUUCUUCUUCAUAUUUUUCUUUUCCCUUUGAUCAAUUGGAUGACUUGUGUCCAUCUUAUUCAUGAUGUAUGGAUUGGUACUUGAUAAACUUUCGUCAUUUCAAAUCUACCUCCUAAUUGAUCAUGGAUCAUUUAAGGUACUUUAGAUUGAUGCAUAAGUUUGCCUUAUGUGUCAUGAAGUAUGGAUUGAAGUAAUGGACCAUCCUCCUAGCCUUCGUGCUUGAUCAUCCCCUUUCUUUCUUUCUUUUUUUAUGGCAUUACUUUAGGAGAAUGAUUUACAUGUCAUUUCUUUAUCAUGUAUUAACACAAACCUUAUUAUUGAUCGGCCUCGGAUAGUUGUGACUUCUACAUAAGUCCAAUUACGAUUGUUUAACAUAGCACUAAAUUUGUCCCAAAAGUAAAGGCAUUUUUAUAAGUGAGAUUGUAAGUCUUUUAUUCCUCAUGGUAUUUUGUGAAAAUGUUGCUACUUUUCCAUUUGUGAGAGCUAGUAGUAUACUUGUUGAUCCUUAUCCAAGUUAGAUCUCUUCUCAUGAUAAUGCAAAGUUCUCAUACUUGUGGGUGACUAGUUGAGUAUUCUCCUUAAAGUGACAAAAUGUCUUUCCAUUAAAAAUGAAUCAAAACAAACACCUUUGUCAUUUUUACCACGAACUACGGGGUUUUGAUCCUCCAUUGCACUUUGUUGGUACGUAGGCAUGAGACUUCAAAAGUCUUGGCAAACACAAAAAUAAGAAAAAUAUACUUCAUUUCCCAUCUCUCCAAUCUUUUGCAAAUAACACCCUUUUCAAACCAAAAUGUACAUAUUUUCAAAGAGGUUCCCAUGGAAUACCAUGGAUGUUUAGGGUGAUAAUACCUUAUCUUUGUAUAACUAACACCCAGACAUUUGUUCUCUUUUUAUUAGUUUUGUUUUAAAACUUCUUCGGGUUUUGUUCAUACUUUUUUCCUUUUCCUUUGGAAACAAUAAAGGCGUGGUGGUGACUCUUGCUUUAUGAGUUAAGUUAAUCGAUAGCUUAAUCUCAAAAAAUUUACCGCUACAGCGUAUGGAGGCCCAAAUUGCUGAAGCCCAAAAACACUGUCUAUUUAACUGGAAAAUGAGAACUUUCACUAGUUGGACGAUUUUAGACGGCAAAAACAUGUUUUGAAGGUUGGAGAACUCAGAUUUUCGAGGUGGAUUCAUAUUUUCUAGAGCUUUUUGAGAUUGAAUAUCAAUUCAUCUAAUUUUUUUGUAAUGGAGACAUUAUUUAUCAUGUUUUAUUUUAUUUCUAUGGGUACCUAAACCCCCCAGUGCUAGGGGGUGUCCCUGAUUCAGAUUUGUAAUGAAUUCAAAUUCCUCUUUGCAAUAACAACCUUAUUUUAUCAUACUUGAUUUAUUCUCUUGACUGAUUUAGUGCUUUCUCUGUUGCAUAAACUGAGUUUGAUUUAUGAUGAACAAUAAGGCUAGACUUCCAUUGUUCAGGAUCUGUUUGAGAAUAUUUUAUAGUAAAUGUCGCCUAGGACUAGGGAUACCCUAUAAAAACCGGAUUAUUCUUGAUAGAAUAAUGCUUAAUUUCAUUCGUACUUUUCUAUGGAUAUAGGAGUUAGGCUGAAUGAUUAAAGGUUUUCUUACUAAGGACUUAGGAGUAAACACUUGUAAGAAUCGGUAAUUAAUUAUCUAAAAUAUGUUGUUGCAAUGUUAGUUUAGAGUCGUCACAUAAUUGAAUCAUACAUUAUCCCUAACAUAUUACUCAUAUCUUUAUAGACCAUACAAUUACUUUGUUUACUUUAUUCACAAUUACUUUCAUAAUUUAACCAAUCAAUCCAAAAACCCUAAUGCUUUUAUUUAAUUGAAAUUUAUCCAAAACUUUGUAUCGUCAAGCAGUCCUUGAGAUCGAUACUGGGGAUUUCCCCUCUUAUUACUACAUUGGCAAAUUAGUACACUUGCUAAUUUACUGAUCAAUAACUUCCUUCAUAACCAUCAACACCAGUAGGACACAAACAUGAUGGACGAGUUAGAGGUAUUAGAUCCCAAGCCUCUAUUUGGUGAGAUAUGGGAGGUGCCGAUCCCAGGGAACUUCAAGUUGCCAUUUAUGGCUAAGUUUAACGGACGCGGUGACCCAUAUGAACAUGUAGCAUCCAUCAAAUUUUAUAUUGCCAUAAUUGGGUAACAUGACUCCUUAAAGUGUAAGCUCAUGUCUGGAACCUUCAGAGUCACAAAUAUGAGAUGGUUUAUGGGCCUCCCUGAAUCUCCGUAACCAACUAUCAAGACUUGGUGAAGAAUUUGAUUCAUCAAUUCUUCACAAACAAGCAUAGGAAGAUGAUCGGCACCAGUCUAUUCAACAUUCACCAAGGUCCCUUGGACUCACUGAGGGAGUAUCUAUCCCACUUCAACGAAGCAACAAUCAAGGUAAUCCAUCCAAAUCAGGAAAUAUUCCUAGGAGAAACUAAGUCUCUUCAGGAUGACUUAACUAAGUCUCGCCUGAAGGACUCAACUAAGUCCCAUAUAAGGGACUCAACUAAGACUCACUGAGAAGACUCAACUAAGUCUCACCUGAGGGGCUCAAAUAUGUCUCGUUGGGAAGAAUAAACUAAGUUUCACCUGAGGGACUCAACUAAGUCUCGCUUGAGGGACUCAACUAAGUCUCGUCAGGAAGACUCAACUAAGUCUCUCUUCAGAGGCUCAACUAAGUCUCUCCUGAGGGAAUCAAUUAAGACUCGUCGAGAAGACAACUAAGCCUCGCCUGAAAGACUCAACUAAGUCUCAUUGGGAAGAAUCAACUAUGUCUUGCUUAAGGGAUUCAACUAAGUCUCGUCAGGAAGACUCAACUAAGUCUCGCCUGAGGGACUUAACUAUGUUUCGUCAGGAAGACUUAAUUAAGUCUUUCCCGAGGGACUCGUCUAAGUCUCAUUUGAGGUAUAUAACUAAGUCUUGCAUGAGGGACUCAAUUAAGCCUCUUCAAUAAGACUCGACUAAGUAUUUCCUGAGGGACUCAACUAAGUCUCGUCGGGAAGAUUCAACUACGUCUCGCUAUAAGGACUCAACUAAGUCUCGUUAGGAUUAUUCAACUAAGUCUCGUCUAAGGGGCCUAAAUUUGUCUCGCAUGAGGGAAUCAACUAAGUCUCACCUGAGGGACUCAACUAAGUCUCAUCAAGAAGGUUCAGCUAAACCUCGUCCAGAAGGUUCAUCUAAAGCCUAAAAAAUUAAAGGUAAUAGUCAAGAUUCGACUAGGAUUUCGUGGAAAGUUUGAAUAUGAGUAAGGGAUUAAAACACUUCGGACUCUACGAGUCCAUGUACUUGAGGGAAUGUGUAGUGGUGUAUUGUAAGGGAUCAUGGGGGCGGGUCAGAGGCUUAUGCUUCACCCAUCGUUAUUUCCAAGUUGCCUUUUUAUUGGUUAGAGUGCCCCUCUUUCAGAUAGAGUAUCCCUUAUCUGAUACAUCAGUUGGUUGUUUCCCGUCUCCUUCCAUAAAGUGAAAUCGUACAUAAAACGGGUAUUUGGUAAACAAACAUUACAUGGGAAGUUGUGGGAUUUAACUAUACUUUCUGGAUUUUAGGGAAUCAACUACCCAUUUUUGGAGUGGUUGCUACGUCUUAGGGAGACUUGGGUUAAGGCUUAGGAGAUUAUAAAUAAAUAAGUAUUAUGAUAAACAAUAGUAUAUACACAUAAAUACAUACAUACAAGAGCUUCUCAAUCCAUCUUAAUGACUAGGGGUUGUCACCCAUUUAUACUUUUCGCAAGUACAAUAUUGAAGACUAAUUUUGACAUCUUGUAACAUAAAUAUAUUAUAUUUCACAAUUUUUUCAAAAAAAAAAUGUAUCUUAAAAAUAAUUUUUAUAAAAAAAAACUAUUUGAAAGCGAUUUUUUUUUAAAUUAUGAUAUCUAAAAAAUGGUAUAGUAAAAUAAUUAAAUAUUUUAAAAAUAACUAUUUAAACUAAUUUUUUUAAUGUUAUGAGGUAAUUGAUAAUUCAAGUGUUGUAACUGUUACCACGGGCGUGUAACAGGUCACAAUUGUGUGAAAAAGUAACACGAAUGUUAAAAAAAGGGAAAUUCUCGUUGGUGUAACCGAUUACGCAUUCUCAGUAACCGGUUACCCCUAUUUUAUUUUUAGAGUUUGUUUCAACUGUAACUUACAGGUACGAGAUUUUCAGUUUUCUGUUAUUUUUCAUGUUGUAAAUUGUGUUCCAAUCCAUUUGUAAUUGUAUAUGUACCUUGGAGGUAUUAUGAAUGAAAACUAAUGAUAUUUCUCACCCUCAAUUACUCUCUCUCUCUCUCUCUCCACGUUCAAUUUCUCCAUUAUUCACCAAACUUGUGGUUCCAAGUUCUAACAUUUGGUAUCAAUAGCCUAGUUCUAAUCCACAAACACCUAGUGUGCAACAUGAAUUUGUCUCCAAUAAAGAAUAAAUGAAAACCUACCCAUCAUUUAUGCGAAGAAUUAUGAAAAAUGGUGCAAACAAAUAAAGAUGUUGUUUGGCUACCAAUAUGUUUUUGAAGUGAUCAAGAAUAGGGUGAAUCCUCUUGUCGAAGGUGUAACUGAUGCACAAUGAGCAAUAGAUAAUAAAGAGAAGAAGAAAGGUUUCAAGGCAUUUUUUUAUCCACUAAUGUGUGGAUGGUGAAAACUUUGAGAAAGUUAGUGAUUGUGAAUCAUUGAAGCAAGCGUGGGAAAUCUUAGAGAAGGCAUACGCAGGGGAUGACAAGGCAAAGGUGGUGAGGUUACAAACUCACAAACGCCAACUUGAAUUGAUUCAAAUGGAAGAAAAGGAGACGACCAAUGAUUUCACAAUGAGAAUCACUCGAUAAUUGAAUCAUGUGAAGGCAUGAGGAGAAACAGUCACGGGGCAAUAUGUUUUCGCGAAAAUCUUGUAUUCUUUAACGUCAAGAUUUGACAAUGUGGUCGUAGUGAUUGAGGAAUCGAACGACCCUGUGAUAUUAGCAAAUAGGAGCUAUAAAGCUUUCUUGAGACUCAUGAGCAAAGGAUGGAGGAGAGAAAUUAUGAUAAGGCAAAGAUGGAGCUAGCUUUGGAAGCUUGUUUCAACGAGAUGGACAAGAGAUCGAAAGGAAAAUGGCCCAUGAAGAGUAAAGGGAAUUUUUUAGAAUUUUGGUGGAAGAGAGUCCUAAAGUUCCAAGAAUUCGACUUGUUAAAGGGGUGAGAACACGUGCAACAAAAAUGGUGGUCAAGGAAACUUUAGAGGUGAAAGGAAAAGUAUUGAUAAAAGCAAGGCGUGGUGCUUUAAAUGUCAAAUGUUCGGCCAUUUUGAAAAAGAGUGCAAUACAAACAAGAAGGAACCUCAAGGAUAUGGAGCCAAGGUUAUAAGACAAGUGUUUGAUGAGGAGAACACACUUUUCAUCAUGAUCACAUAGGGGGGAUGCAGUAGCAGCAUGCUGCGGGACAGCAGCAACGACAAUUUUGGAAACGCUGCAGAAGCAUGUUGUAAUCGGUUAGUAAAAGUUGUAAGUUACAAGAAGAAGAAAAUGUCAUGAUGAGUACGAAAGGUGCAGUUCAGUACAUCAAUAAAUGGUAUAUGGACUUUGGAUGUUCUAAUCAUAUGAUGGAGAGGAAAUAUUGGUUUGUUAAAAUCAAUCAUGCCAUGAAUAACAAAGUGAAGUUCGUGGAUGACACCACUAUAGUAGUCGAUGGGAUCGGUGAUGUUUUGAUCGUGAGAAGGGAUGGUGGGCAUUACUUGAUCAAAUAUGUAUUGUACAUUCUAGAAAUUAAAUGUAACCUUCUAAGUAUUUGGUCAAUUGCUUGAGAAGGGUUACAAGAUUCACACGGAAAGCAAAGGACAACACGUUAUGGAUGCAAACAGGGUUUUAGUCCUUAAAGUUCCUAUGGCUUCCAAUAGAACUUUAAAGUUUGAGUUGAAGGUUAUAAAGCAUAGGUGUCUUGCUACAGCGACUAUUCAAGAAGAAUGGAUAUGGCAUUGUUUUAUUGGGCAUCUUAAUUUUCGAGAUCUCAAUGCAUUGCAAAAGAACAAAAUGGUAAUGGGGUUUCCAUUGAUAAACAUACUGGCUGAAAUUCGUGAUAAAUGUGUGCAAGCGAAGCAACAUAAGGGUGAAUUCAACAAGUAUGUAGGUUAUAGAACUAAGAGUCACCUUGAGGUGGUGUAUUUGAAUGUAUAUGGACCAAUGCAAGUUGACUCGAUUGGUGGUUAUAGAUAUUUUGUCACAUUCACCGACAAUCAUAGUAGAAAGCUAUAGACAUACCUAAUCAAGAGAAAGGAUGAGGUAUUUGAAGUGUUUAAGAAGUUUAUGUCCAUGAUUGAGAGGCAAAGUGAUCACAAGCUCAAAGUUCUCAAAACGGAUGAUGAAGGCGAAUAUGUCUCAAAAUACUUUGAGAGAUUUUGUGAUCAAGAAGGGAUAGUACAUGAGGUUGUACCACCUUAUACACCGCAACAAAAUAGUGUCGCCGAAAGGGAUAAUCUAUUGAUUAUGAACAUGGUAAGAAGCAUGUUAAAGGGGAAGAACUUACCGAAAGAGUUAUGGGGAGAAGCAUUAUCCACAAUUGCAUAUUUGUUGAAUAGGUGUCUGAAAAAGAAGCUUGAGAAGGUAACACCAGAGGAAGCAUGGUCAGGAUUCAAACUGAAUUUGAACCAUUUGAAAUUUUUUGGUUACGUAACGUAUUGACAUGUUCCGGGGCAGCUUAGAAAGAAGUUUGAUGAUAAGGGAGAGUUAAUGAUACUUGUAGGGUAUCACUCUACCAGUGCUUACAAGUUGUAUGAUUCAGCAAACAAGAGGAUUAUGAUCAACAGAGACGUCAUUUUUAACGAGAUCAAGCAGUUCUAGUAUCUUGUGACUGGUUAUGUAAAAGCUCUAACCAGUUACAGCAUUGAAAAUUCAGUUUCUGCAGAAUUUGAGAGUGCAAAAAUGGUCGUCGUCGAAGCUUGAAUUGAAUAGAAUGUGAGAAGAUCAACAAUGCAAAGAGGUUUGCCUAAAAUACUCCAAUAUUGUAAGAUGUUCUGAAACAGAGAAGUCAAUGAUGAGGGUGAUUUCUUCCAUUGUUCACUUAUGGCCGAAUUGAAACCCGUUAAAAUAGAAAAGGCUUUAAGUGAUCCAGAAUGGAUUUGUGCUAUGAAGGAUGGGCUGGAAUCUAUUGAGAAGAACAAUACUUGGGAUUUGUUUGGUCUACCGGAUGGGAAUAAGCCAAUUGGUGUGAGAUGGGUGUUCAAAGUGAAGGCAAAUAUCAAGGGUCAAAUAAUCAAGCAUAAGGCUCGAUUAGUUUCAAAAGGAUUCUUGCAAAGAUAAGGCAUAGACUUUGAAGAGGUAUUUGCAUCGGUUGCUAGGAUUGAAACCAUUAGGCUAGUUGUUGGUAUUGAAAAUAAUAAAAAUUUGCCCAUCUAUAAAAUGGACAUUGAUCCGCUGUCGUGCACGGGUUAAAACGAGUAAUUAAAAACAGUAGGUUAAGGAAGCAACACUCGAGAGUCAUAUCGCAAGGACUCUUGAAUUGAAUUUUACCAACUGAAAAUGAUGGGGGUUUUAAGGUUUAGGUUUUGAAUAAAAUAACAGUAAAAAGGAUUUGAUUACAAAUAAGCUAAAAUGGUUAAUCCUACUGAUUUGGGUUUCGACUUAUCAUUGGCUAUUCUAAAUCCAAUCCCCUAAGAGGCUUCGAUUCUAUUCGAAUAUGAAAUCAAUUAGACAAGCGUUAUCAAUAUCAUGUGAGUUAUGUUCCUAUUUACCUCAUUAAGCAUGAAAAUUUAAAGAUUACGCUAAGCUAACAUACAAGCUAAGUUAACAUGCAAUUAAAAUUAGGAACAUGCAUACAAUCAAAUUUUAUCACUUUUAUCCUAUGAGUAGCAAUCAAAUUAAGAAAACAAAAUUGAUCAAAUUAAGAAAACGAAUACAUAGGUAGAAUUGAACAUAAAAAAAAUUGAAUUGGAAUUAAAAUAACCUCAAAAUGGUGGAACCCCUAAUCAGCAGAAUUUGCCUUAAGGAUUAGUUCUCCAUGAAAAUCGUACAAAGCUAGGAAUUUCGUGAAUAGUGAAUAAUGUGUAUGAACAAUAUCCGUGGCUUAUUUAGGUUAACGGAAACAAAGAAUUCGGGUUUUAAUCCCAACUGGAUCAGAAAACAUAAAAACCGGCCCAAAACUGGCACAAAACUAAUUAUUUUCUAAAGUUUGAAACUAAAACGAUUUAUUCGAGUCUUUUACACUCCGAAUUUGCUUCUGACUUCAACAUGAAACUUUUAUCUUAUCCUCUCAGAUUUCCAACGCUUAUUAGAACGCGUCAAUCUAAUUCUCAUAUCCCAAGUUAUUACCUAUGAAGCGAGAGGGCAUAAGUAGUUUUUUAUUCAGAACAUACCAUGCGAAAUUAAAAUAAAUGUAAAAAUAAACUAAGCUAAGGAAACUAAGCUAUGAAAGUAGAAUUGUUGCAACAUAAUAGUAAAAGAAUGUGAGUGAAAAUGCACUGAAUAAAUUCCCCCACACUUGAACUUUUGCACUCCAAACAAAAUUCUAAAGUUAAAAUUCAAAACAAAAAAAUAGGAAGAAAACAGAGCAUGCAAAUUCAAAGACUUUCAAAAUCACAAGGGUGCAAGUAAAAUCCUCAUUCUAAGCUUCAAGAAAUAUGGUGUUAGUGAGUAAAAUUCAAUGAUAUUCAAAGGAAGUAAGAAGAUAAUUUACCAAAGAGUAUAUCAUAAGCAGCAAGAUCCUCAUGAAAAAAUUCUCUCAACUCUCAAGUGUUUAGGUUUCUAUUUAAACUCAAAGCACAUCAUGAAAACUAGCACUGCCAUAAGCUUGAAAAGACUACAACAUACACAAGUUAAAUACAUGCAUACAAAGAUGAAAAGGACUUUCAUUAGGGUUGUAACUUGGCCAAGGUAAGAAUAAGAUAGAUCCUAAGGGAUACUAGGCUAUAAUUCAAAAGGUUAAAAGAAAAUUGAAAGAAACUGUGGGAGUUGAACUAAAUAAAACUUCAUUCACUUUCAAACAACAACCUUGCAGUUAUUUAUCUUCUCUUUUUUAUUUUUAUUCUUCUUCUUUUUUUCUGAAGGAAUAUGUAUUGUCAUCCUUCUUUUCUUUUUCUAUUUUUUUUCUUUUUCUAUUUUUUUCUUUUUCUAUUUUUUUCUAUUUUCUGUCAACUUUUGAAUGAAAUAUCACAACUAUAAUUAUUCAACCCCACACAACUUCAAACAAGACUCUUUCAACCCUUUGAAUAGGGUGAUAAUAUUGAUUUCCACUUUUUGGCUUGUAAUGAGUUUUAAACAAAGAAUGGGAUAAUAGGCUCAAGGGGUUUUUAAACAAGGGAUGAUAUAUUCAGGGUUAGCUUUUUGGCUAACUAGCUAAAAAAAUAAGUUGUAUUUAUCAUAUUAGUGUGCACAAGUAAACAAAAAACUUCAACAAGAUUCAAUUCAAGUUCUAGAGACUAACAUACAUGAGUGAAACACACAAGAAAUAAAAAGAUGGAUUUUUGAAUGUUAUCUAAUAUUAGGCUCAAAAUUGAACAAGGUAAAUGAUCUACUACAAAUGAUGAAUAAUUAAGGGUUUAGUCCUACCUAUCAUACUAGGAAUGCAUAGCAAAUCAAUCACGUCACACCACGAGUCUUUAACCAAUAGAACAGAGAAAUUACUCACACAACACUUGCAACCUAAAAAUCAAUGAAAAAGCAUGCAAUUUUUUUUUAAGAAAACAACAAAAAAAAAACAAAAAAAAACAAGGAAAAAUAAAAUGGUUCCCUCCCCCACACUUAAGAUACAUAUUGUCCUUAAUGAAAUAACAUAAGUAUAAAAUAAGAGAGAGAGAGAGAGAGAGAGAGAGAGAGAAGAGAUAGAAAAUAACACACCCGAGGAGUCAAGACGGAUACAUGAUUGCAUAAGCAGUCUUUCCCAAAGAUAGCUCUUCUACAAUGUCUUCUUCCAAAGUGGGACUCUCAUGGAGUAGUCUUGGGCAGUGUCCAUUGUUCUUGAAAUUUUUAGUAGUGCGUUCAUCUUUUAUUCCAGGAUCAAAGAAGGAUCUUCCAUAAGUAAAAUUGUCGAAUGGGCAAAUGAAAGUGGUCUCGUUUUUCACAACAUCGAGAAUCAAAGGAUUAAGGGGUUGCCUCACUACUUUUGUUUUAUCUUCAAGUGAGAACCUAUGGAUACUCAUAGAUGGGCUAAUGUCACGAAUGUCAACCAAGGUCCAUCCAAUUCCUUUUUUAUGUUCCUGCAAUAAUUUAUCUUCCUGCUCAAAUUGAAGCUUCGAUGAAUAAUAUAAAUCCUAGGGAAGUGGUUUAGGUUCAAAUAAGGUGGUUGUACAAUGGAUGGUUUGGCUGGGGCAGCUGGGAUGUCGAAAGCUUCAAUUGUAUAAACAGUUUCAGGUGCAUAAACAGCUUUAUCUACAACUUCAUCUGUAGAAAAAAUAUCAACCUGCAAGGUAACCUCGUCUGUAGGAAAAAUAGUAAGUAUCAUCAAAAUCAGACAAUGAUGAGAAAUCAGCUGAAAAUAAGUCAGAAUAAGUAUGAUCAACAAACUCAGAAAGCAAUUCAAUAUGAAAAACAAAAUGUUCCUCCAUGGGAUGUUUCAUAGUAUCAAAAGUGUUAAAUUUAACAAUGGUAUUAUCAAACUCCAUGGACAUUGUAUCAUCAUCAACGUCAACUUUUGUUUUUGCUAUUUUCAUUAAUGGUCUGCCUAAAAUGAUGGGUGCCAUGUUUGACCUAGUUUCUCCUUCCAUGUCCAAAAUGUAAAUAUCAUAAGGAAAAAUUAAGUCAUUAACUUGAACAAGUACAUCUUCUACUACUCCAGCAGGACGGACAUUGCUCCUGUUUGCCAACUGAAUGGUUAAACAUGUAUUCUGAAAAGGACCAAGAUCAAGAUUAUUAUAAACAGAAGUGGGCAUAACAUUAAUAGAAGUUCUUAAAUCCAAGAUGCAACUUUUGAAUUUACUAUCCCCGAUGGUGCAUUGAAUAGCAAAAGUUCCAGGAUCCUUGCACUUUUGGGGCAUGGCCUAGGUGGGAGCUGAAACAUUUUGCUUAGUUGUAUCUUUUUCAGGUGCUUUAGGUUGAAUGAAGACAGAAAAAUUUCUUCCCACAUUCACUCUCUCAUUCCCCUUCAAUCUCCUCUUAUGAGUGCAUAAGUUUUUAAGAAACUUGGUAUAUUUGGGAAUUUGCUUAAUUACAUCAAGAAACUGAAUGUUCACCUCCACCUUUCUGAAUAUGUCCAAUAUCUCCUUAUCCUUAUCUUCCUCAUCCAACUUUUUGUUUUUUACAACUCUUUGUGGAAAAGGAAUUGGUGGUACAUAGUCUUUACCAAUAACAACUUCAAAAUCAGGCAUGGGCUCAAUAACUUUUUUAUUUUUUCUAGGGUUGGUUCAACCGCUUCAACACUUUUUCCAGAUCUCAAGGAAAUUGCACUCACAUUAGGGCCUUUUGGUUUCACUACUGUUUGGACAGGUAAUUGGUUUGAUCCUUGAAUUUGUUGCAUGACAUUCAUUGAAGUGGAAAGCUGUCCAAUCUGUGUCUGCAAGUUCUGAAUACUAGAAUUUGUUCGCUUAUGAAAUUGGAGAAUAUUUACAGCCAAUUGCUUGACAAGGUCAUCUAGUGAAGGUCCGGAAGGUGCAUAGGUGGUUACUUGUGGGGUUUUUUAUGGUGGUGGUAGCGGUAGCAUAAAGUGUUGUUGACUAGGUUAUUAUAUGGAUGGGUUCUUAUGCCAAAGGUUUGGAUGGUUACCUAUUAGUGGAUAGGUCAUGAGUGUUGUAGUACCUGUACUAGUUGUUGCUUUGAGGGUUGUAGAUUUUUGUUGCGUAUGCUUGAGGCAAAUCUAAAGUAGGACAAGUAUCUGUUGGGUGUUCAAGAGAGGUGAAAAUGCCACAUAAUCUUUCAAAUUGAGUUUUUCUUACUGCUAGUUGUCUCACCAAUGAAGUAAGCUCAUCAAUUCUGGUUUCUAAAGCCUCGUUGGAAGGAGAAGCUUGAAUUCCAUGCACUCUUUUUAUUAGAACCACAGAGUUGCUUUUGGUUGUGAAUUAUUGUGAGUUGAGUGACAUGUUUUCAAUUCGAGUCUUAGCUGCAGUUGAGGUCUUAUCAAAAAGAGCUUCUCCACUAGCAGCAUCCAAAAUACUUUUGUCCAUAGGUAACAUCCCUUCAUAAAAGUAUUGAAUUAGCAAUUGUUCAGAAAUAUGGUGUUGAGGACAACUCGACACUAACUACUUGAAUCUCCCCCAAUAUUCGGCCAAUGACUCCAUGUCAACCCCUUUAAUACCACGUAUAUAUUUUAUGAUCUAAGCAACUCUUGAGGAAGAGAAAAACCUUUCUAGGAACACUCUUUUUAGAUCAUUCCAGCUUGUGACAGAAUUUGGCUCAAAGUAAUACAGUUAAUCUUUUGUAGCUCCUUGAAGUGAGAACGGGAAUGCUCUGAGCUUUAUAUGAUCCUCUAUGAAUCCUUUAGGUCUCAAAGGUGUAGAGCAUACAACCUGGAAUUCCUUCAGAUGCUUAUGCAGAUCCUCACUUGCAAGACCAUUAAACCUUGGCAACAAGUGUAUUAAACCAGAUUUUAAUUCGAAAGGUACAACAACAACAGGAUAUUCAAUACAUAAAGCAUUAUAAUUAACACUAGGGAAAGCAAGUUGUCUCAGAGUUCUUUGAUCAGCCAUGUUAAACUCAAAAUCAGAAUCAACAAAGAAUGAGAAAACACAUAACCAAUUCAGCAAUGCAGCAACAACUAAGAAAAUACCAACAAUGUCCCUAAUAAGUAAAAACAAUUGGAAUAUGGAAAAACGAUUAAAAGAAAAGAAAAAAAUAUAAAAAUAUAAAAAUAUAAAAUUUAAACUAAUAAAGUAAAAUAAGAGUUUUGAGAAUUUUUUCGGAAUUUUUUGAAACUAUGAAAACACAAUAAAAAAAAUCAUAAAAAAUAGAAAAAUGAUGAAUUUGGGGUUUUAAGGGUAGUGUCCCGUGACUCUUUUCAAGAGUAACGAUUUUUUACUCCUGAUUUUUUUCUACUAAAUUGGCAUGGAAAAAUUUCGAUUCCGGGAUGAUUUUUCUAAAACUGGGUUCUCGGACCGGGUUUGAUGGAUACGCGCGAAUUGGCCAAAACAGCAAGAAUGGAUGGGCCAAAACGCAAGGACGAACACCUAAGACUCUAAUAAUGGUAAAAUUUGACAAGAGUCUUAGGCAACAGCGCCAAUUUGAUUCGUUGUCACGCACGGGUCAAAAACGAGUAAUUAAAAAUUGUAGUUUAGGAAACCGACACUCGAAAGUAGUAUCGCAGUGACUCUUUUAUUGAAUUUUACCAACUGAAAAUGAUGGGGGGUUUAAGGUUUAGGUUUUGAAUAAAAUAAUAGUAAAAAGGAUUCGAUUAAGAAUAAGUUAAAACGGCUAAUCCUAUUGAUUUGGGUUCCGACUUAUCACUGGCUAUUGUAAAUCCAAUCUCCUAAACGGCUUUGAUUCUAUUCGAAUAUGAAAUCAAUUAAACAAGUGCUAUCAAUAUUAUGUGAAUUGUGUUCAUGUUUAUCGCAUUAAGCAUGACAUUUUAAAGAUUAGGCGAAGCUAACAUAUAAGCUAACUUAACACGCGAUUAAAAUUAGGAACAUGCAUACAAUUGAAUUUAAUCAAUUAUAUCCUAUAAGUAGCAAUCGAAUUAAGCAAACUGAUACAUAGGUAGAAUUGAAAAGAAAUUGAAAUUGAUUUGGAAUUAAAAUAACCUCAAAGCGGUGGAACCCGUAAUUAGCAUAAUUCUCCUUAGGGAUUAGUUCUCCAUCAAAAUCGUACAAAGCUAAGAAUUUCGUGAAUAGUGAAUAUGUGUAUGAACAGUAGCCACUACUACUUUAGGUUAAAGGAAACAAGGAAUUAGGGUUCUAAUCCCAACCGGAUCGGAAAACAUAAAAGUUGACCCAAAACUUGUCCAAAACUAAUUAUUUUCUAAAGUCUGAAACUAAAAUUAUUUCUUCGAGUUUUUUACACUCUGAAUCUACUUUUAACUUCAACAUGAAACUUUUAUCUUAUCCUCUUAUCUAUUCAAAACGUAAUAGAACGAGUCAAUCCAAUUAUCGUAGCCCAAGUUAUGACCUACAAACCGAGAGGGUGUAAAUAGUUGUUUAUUCAGAAAAUACCAUACGAAAUUAAAAUAAAUGUAACAAUAAACUAUGCUAAGGAAACACACUAAAAUAGUAGAAAUAACAAAAGAUACUCUAGAAUUUUUUCAACAUAAUAGUGAAAUAAUAUGCCUGAAAAUGCACUGAUCAAACGUCAAAUCUGCUUUUUGAACGGAUCGCUUGAAGAAGGGUUGUAUGUAGAGCAACCACUAGUUUUGUUGUGAGAAACCAAGAGUUAAAAUUCUACAAGUUGAAGAAAGCAUUGUAUGGUUUGAAGCAAGCUCCAAGAUCUUGGAACAAGAGGAUAGAUGGUUUCCUAAAGGAGGUUGGUUUCAAGAAAUAUGUAUCCGAACAUGGCGUGUAUGUCAAGACGGAUACAAGUGAAGAUGUGGUUAUCCUUUGUUUAUACAUAGACGACUUGUUGAUAAUUGGAAGUGAUGGAAAAUGCAUUUCAAAGUUCAAGAGUGAACUUAUAAAAGAGUUUGAGAUGACUGACCUUAGCCUCAUGACAUACUUCAUUGGCAUUGAGUUCCACAAGCCCAAAAGGGGAUUGCUCAUGCACCAAAGAAGGCAUGCACUUGAGAUAUUGAAGAAGUUUGAAAUGGGGUAUUGUAAUGUUGUCAUUACUCUGACUUAACUGAGGAUACAGUUUUCGAAGAAUGAGGAUGAGCAAGAUGUUGAUCCAACUCAGUAUAUGAGACUGAUUGGAUCAUUUCUUUACUUGUGUAAGACGCGACCCGACGUGACGUUUAAUGUCGGUAUUGUGAGUAGAUUCAUGGAGAGAUCGAAGGUGUCUCACUUAGCAACAGUCAAGAGGAUCAUAAGAUGUCAAAUGGUCGAUUGGCUGGGGAAUUCUCUUUCUCGCAUCGGACACAUGAAGAAAAUGAAACUUACUCAGUUUUACCAAUUCCAACUGGUGUGGAGAUAAAGAUGAUCGAAAGUCUACAGUUGGAUACAUCUUUAUGUUCGGCGAAAUACCAAUUUCAUGGUGUUCGAAGAAGGAACUGAUAGUAGCACUCUCGUCUUGUGAUGCCGAGUACAUUACUGCUUCGUUAUGUGUGUGUCAAGUCGUGUGGCUAAUGAAUCUAUUGAAGGAGAUGGGCAGCAAUGAGGGUGAUGUUGUUACGCUCUUGGUUGAUAAUGUUUUCGCAAUUAAUCUUGCUAAGAACCCAAUUGCACAUGGGAGGAGAAAGCAAAAUGAGAUAAGGUUUCACUACUUGAGGGAACUUGUCAGUUAAGGAAGGUUGAGAUUGAGAUAUUGUAGAAGUGAAUACCAAGUGGUUGAUUUGUUGACUAAGGGAGGCACAAUUGAAGUGUUCAAAGAUUGAAGAUGAACAUGGACAUGGAAGACUUGGAGCACUUGAAUUAAGGUGGUGUGUUAUGAAAAAAUUGACAAUUCUAGUGUUGUAAUCAGUUACCACGGGCAUGUAACCGAUUACAGUUGUGUGAAAAAGUAACAGGAAAGCUAAAAAAAGGAAAUUCUUGUUGGUGUAACCGGUUCCGCAUUCGCAGUAACCGGUUAUCACUGUUAUAUUUUUAGAGUUUGUUUCAGCUAUAACCGGUUAUAGAUUUUGUGUUACCAGUUACAGGUACGAGAUUUUCAAUUUUAUGUUAUUUUUGAUGUUGUAACUUAUUCUCAAUCCACCUGUAAUUGUAUAUGUAUUUUGGAGGUAUUAUGAAUGAAAACUAAUGAUAAUUUUCACCCUCAAUUACACUCUCUCUAAUUAUAAUUCUCAAUCACUCUCUCUUAUCUUUUACAUUCAAUUUCUUCAUUAUUCGUCAAUCUUGUAAUUUCAAAUUUUAAUAUUUAGUUUAAGUUUUUAUAUAAAAAUAUAUUUAAAAAAUUUAAACAAAAUAAUGUAACAAUAUAAGAAUCAUUUUUAAAAUAAACCGAAAGAAAUGUACUAUUUAUUUUGUUUGAUUAACAAUAGCUAUAAUGGAAAGCUAUUGCUACAUUAAUAUUACUAUAGUUGUUUCGUUUUAUAAAAGGUAUGGUUUGGCUUUUUUUGGUGUUGCGUCGGAAAUUUCUCAAAUAUUACAACUUUGUAUGUUGAUUAUAUUUUGUAGACAUUUAUGUAAAGUCGACGAUCAUUUUUGUAUGUUAACUAAUAAUUUAUUAAUUUAAAAGGUUUAAAAUUUUAAAAAUUAACUUUUUUUUGGGAAGAAAAAAUUAACUUUUAAAUCAUGUAAAAUGAACUUUGUUGUUCACAAACUUGAAUUUAGUCUAGUUUGAGUAAAAGAAAAUGUGUUUCAAAAUCAAAUUGAAAUUUGAAUUUUGAGUUGAAUCAAUUUUUAUUGACUCGACUUAAGUCAAAUUAAACUCAAUUCAACUCAUUUUCUACCUUAAAUAUAAAAAAAGUAUUAUAUGAUUAUUAAGAUUUAACCUUUAAAAACAAUAUUUAUUUAUAUUUAUAAAUUAAUAUAAAUCAGUAUGUUGAUAUUUAUAAAUAAUUAAAUUCUUUUAACGUAAGGAUUUUGAAAUUUUAGAGUAGAAACAUUUGUUCAUAUUAAGGAACAUUUGUUCACUAAUGUACUUUUUCUAUUAAGGGCUCUCUGCUCUUAAAGAUGACUUUAAAUUCAGAUUGAAGAUGGAAACUCCUAUUUUUGGAUUUUUCAAUUGACCUGAGGUAGAGAAAUUAGUGGACCAAGUUCUCUGUGUGGAUAUUCACGAUCUGGAAAUACGAGGUGUUUAUUUGGAUGAGAAUUAGAACUUCAAUUCAUUAUAUGUUAAUAUUCAUUUGGUUGUUUGUGACCGUCUAAAAGCGCUUCUCAUUUGUGAAAUUCUGGCGUAGUCAGAGUUCAGAUGUUCUACUCCAAGUCAUGACAUCUGAUCCAACAUUGUUACUAAUACAGCAAGACAGUUAUACAAAUUAAAACCCAGUACUAAUCUACACACAUUCACCAUGAAAUUCUGGCGUAGUCAGAGUUCAGAUGUUCUACUCCAAGUCAUGACAUCUGAUCCAACAUUGUUACUAAUACAGCAAGACAGUUAUACAAAUUAAAACCCAGUACUAAUCUACACACAUUCACCGAUGUCACGACAUCUACUACUAUAUCACCAUAGAAUGGAAGAACACCCAGUUCUGUCCAUCUGGUACAAGGACACAGUAGAGAUCAAACAUAGCACUAACUUCUGUUGAGCCUGCACAGUUAUCAGCAUGAUGUCUCAAUAGUGAUUUGGACAUCACCUGUUACAGUAUUACAGUUUGCUGGCCUUGUACUUGUAUUUCCUAAAAUAAAGGUUAAACACGUUAAUCUAAUUUCCACAUAUUAGGGUGCUAACAAAUAGGCUAUUUGUUAGGUUCAUUAAUUGUAGCUCAGUUGUUAGUUUCCUGGAUUUCAGCUCAGCUGUUGGAUUGCUGAAGAAUAGCCUGAGAAAAAUAUUGAAACAGAAAAACUAACCUUCCUACAAUUUAGCAUAUGCUGUCAGGAAUGGAUGUCACAACAUUCAUUUUGGACGUCCAGAACAUAGACCAUAUGCUAAGUCUGUUAUUUUUCUGAAAACAGACUGUACAAAAUGAUGUACUGUAUAAGACCAACCAGUCUAUAUUUCAAUAUCAGCUUACAGUAAUAAAUGUCAAAACAUCCAGUUUGACAUUUACAGAAUGUGCCUUAUGCCAGGUCUGUUAUCCUCUUGAAGAACAGACUGAGAUACAUACUGAACUGUAGCAGAAGACCAACCUGCCUUAUUAUUCAGUAUAUGCUGACAAUGGUGAAUGUCAUAACAUCCAGUUUGACAUUCAAACAGUAUGCUAUGUACCAGGUCUGUUAUUCUCUUGAUAAACAGACUGAAAUACAUGCUGAGUUAUAACAGACAGAAUUAUAACGUGCAGAAGGAAAACAAACACAGGAAAUUGUUAACCCAGUUCGGUGCAACAUCACCUACUCUGGGGGCAUACCAAGCCAGGAAGAAGAUCCACUAUCAGUAGUAUUAAUUCAGAGUUAAACUCUCUCUGCGGUUUAACUCUUCACUUAAUCCCUACCCAAUGCAAUUUAUACCGUAGGAACUCCUAGAUAGAAACCACCAGUUUCCAUUUCUAUCACUACAAUUUCAAAGUAAUGCUAAACAAGUUGAACUUGCUUCACAACUUAGUUCAAGACCAUGACAACUCUUACCUACAGGCUUUGAGUUACAAAAUAAUCUCAGCUUUGAGCACUGAGAAACACAUGGUAAUCUUCCCACAGGUUGGGAGGUUUACCUCACACACACCCCUAAUUUUUACAUUGUUUGAGGCUCACUUCACCUAGGUUACAAUCUGCUAUUUAUAACCUAAACACCCAACUGGAUUUGGGCCUUAGAAAUCGCAACAAGCUUCUCCUUUGUUGUUACAAAGUCAGCAGAAAACUCCUGCUAUAAUCAAGGUCUUCAAUCUUUUAGUUCCUAAAAUAUCUCCAUAUAUAUCUCCAUAUUUGGAAACUGUAUAUUCUGAUUGAGUCUUUAAGAUCUCCACAAGGAAGUUAGGAUAUUCACCAAAUAUCCUCACUAAUCCCAGAAUAUAUGCCUGAAUUAACUAAUUCAGUUUUCUACACAUGUGUGAUGUCACAGUCACGAUGUCGUGACAUCGUACAUGACAUGUUGGUCCAGAUGUUGAACUUCUUCAACCCAACAUAUUAAAACAACAGAGAUGAUUACAUUAUUUGUUUUACAAAAUUAAUGUCAAUCCUAAGGUAUUAACAAUUUGUUUGAAUUUUCUAGUGUCUGGUUGGUUGAUCUGGAGGCAAUUUAGAUGGUAUCUAUAUUGUUCGGGAUGAUUAUAUCUGGCUUAAGAGACUUGAAUUUAUUCAUAAUACAACAGAAACUCUUGGAAGUGGGUGUGGCAUAUAUCUGCUCAUAAAAAGGUGAAAUUCUUCUUUUGAGCGGCUUUACAUAAAUCAUUUCCUACGAGAUCGAUGUUGUGUCAUCAUGGUAUGCUACAGGCGAAUCUCUAUUCUAUAUGCAAUCAUGACACUAAGGUGAAUCUACACUACUUGAGACUGUGAAUUCACUACUCGCUUUUGGAAAUCUAUUGGUUUCUUGGAUCCAUUAUUCUUCUAAGGGGAUAGUUUAUAUGAUUGGAUUAGACAUGGCAUUGAUGAUGACUCUAUCUUUUUGGCUGCUUGUUGAUUGUUAUGACGCACUAAAAACAAAUUGUAUCUUGCAAAUGAAGUGGCAUCUUUCUGUACUUUGAAACUCAUCACAGUUAAUUAUGCUAAUUUAUUAGCUAAAUGUUUUCUCAAGCAUAAAUGUCUCAUCCAACGAGAACAAUCAUGUGGAAUGCAUACAAAGAUAGUAAUAUGAUUUUGAAUUUUGAUGGCAAUAGCCUCAGUAAUCUCGGCGUCUCGUAUUUUGUUGGAUUGAUUUGAAAUGAUGAUGGUGCUUUGGUUCACAAUUUUGUGGGUAAUUGAUUUGAAAUGAUGAUGGUGCUUUGGUUCACAAUUUUGUGGGUAAUAUUAGUUAUUCCAACAUCCUUCAUGUUGAGUUGAUGGUGUUAUAUCAUGAUUUGUAUAGGGUCUGAGAACUUAGCAUCAAAGACAUAAUGUGUUACUCUAACUCUAACUCUGCUAUCAAACUAAUCUCAAAGACCGUUAAUAUUUGACAUCACUAUGUUGCGAAUCUUCACAACAUUAAAGAGCUCCUCUUCAGGAAAUGACACGUUCAAAUAUUACACACUCUUACGGAAGAAAAUAUUUGUGCUAACUGUCUAACAAAACAUGAGACCGAUAAUGAUGCGCCGAAUAAGUUUUUUUUUUGCAUAAUCUCCUAUUUAAAUUAUCACUCUCUUGCUAAUUGAUAUUUAGUCGAAUUUCCUAUUCUUUUUCACUUUUACCAAUAUAUAAUUUUUUUUUUAAACAAAUUUUAAAAAAUAAUAAUUUUUUUUAUUGAAAGUGUCAUUAAAUCCAAAAAAAAUCAAUAAACUUAAUUGUUAAUAAUACAUGUUUUAAAGAGCAAUUCUUAUUUGUCAAAAAAAAAAAGAGUAAUUCUUAUAAUCCUCAAUAAUAUUUAUUAUUAUUAUUAUUAUUAUCUUUUAAAUGGGUCUGUUUUUAUGUCUCCAGAAUUUUUUUUAUUUAUAUAGAUUAAUCAUUUAACUUACAAAAAUAGUCAUAAUCACAAUAAGAGUAGGAAGAGUUUGAAAUUGAGUAAUAAGCAAAUGCUAAUAAAACAAAAUAAGUCUAUAAUUAACCUCAUACACAAAGGGGGCAAAUGAUCCAAAUUGGAAAGGAUCCUGGUAAAAAUGAUCCAAAUUGGAAAUGAUCCAAAUCAUUCAUGUAGCAAUACAGCUAAACAUGAGAACUCAAGAACCAAAAGUGGUCCUUCAAAUGACUUUAACAUGCUAAAAAGAAAAGUCAUUAUUUGAUUUUCCCUUUAUCAUUCAUUAUGAAAGAGACUCACGUUUAGAUUAUUCCAUUCCAAACACAGUGUCCAAUCCUUGUCUCUUCCUACCUUUUUCACCCCACUAUCCCUACCGAGCUUCCUUAUACAAACCAUUAUCCAUCUAAUUUAUCUUUAAAGUUACCUAACCAAAUUUGUGUUUGAAAUUAAAAUCAUAAGAACGUGAUUUAUUAUUUUUCCUUAAAUUCAACCACUCUAUCAAUAAUUUGAUGUUCUAUUUAAACUUUAAUUCAGAGACUUGUUGUUACACGGCAUUGACUAUUAUGAAUAAGAGAGGUGUACAUUGGCUCACAUGGAAACCAGUUAAGACACACAUUCUAUGAAACUUCUGACUCAUGGCUACAUUUUUUAUAAACUAUAGUAUAUAAUUUAAAUGACGCAUUCAUUGCCAGCUUAUUAUUAGCAUUAACGACAGUAAUAAACAAAUAGACCUGAUGUAAUGUAACAACAACAAAAUUACAUCACUUCUUUCAGAAUAACCUGUUUAAUUAUUAAUUCAUAGAAAAAUUUAUUUAAAAAAAAAAAAAAAGCAUAAAUGAAUCAUAGAAAAAUAUUUGUUCAAACAUUAUACUAUAGAGAAAUGUGCAUGAUUUCCUUUCCUCCACCACUUGGUCAGUGGGGGCUGUUUUUUAAUUUGAAAAAGCAUAGUUGUAUAAUAAAAUUAUCUAACAGAAAUAAAGAACCAAUAAUGUGCACGUUUCAUUCAUUUAUUGACAUCAUAAUUCAAAUGUUAGAACCGACAAUGAUCAGUUGCUAAAAACAAUGCACUCAGCAAACAUUACUAGAAAAUUCAUUCAUGAAGCUACAAUACAUAUAUCAGAUACAGCAACGCAGGUUUGAAUAUGUGAGAUUUCACUUAUUUCUUUUAAAGAGUGAAAUUUCAGCUAGUAAAUUACUUGACUCCUCUAGAGACUAAAACAUUACUAAAGUUAAAGGCCGAAGAAAAAAAUAAUAAUUAUUUCGUUCAGGAGAGAUUUAAUUAAUCUGUGAAAUAAAGUUUUUCUGGUUAUUGUUUCUAACUUUUUCUCCCUCUAAAGUUUGUGAGCCUCGAAUAACCUGUAAAUGAUGCAACGUGCACUUUGAACUCAUGCAUGUGUUGACAAGAAUCACAUGUUAAUAAUCAUUAUUAUUGAGAGAAAUCACAUGGCUCAGAAAAUUAAAAAAAUUAAAGUGAAAGUGAAAGUAAUAUAGCAUAGCAGGUGAACUAAAGUGAAAACCAAUUUGUAUUCUUCUCGUAUUAGCAACUUCCCUUGGCCAUGGCCAUGGCCAUGACCAUUAUACGUAUUUAGAUGAAUUAAGGUGCAGAAGUGUGUAAUGUAUAUUUCAAAUUUCUAGGGAUACAUUUGAAAUAAAAUAAACUAUGAUUUUAGAUUAUGAUGACGAUCUAUAUCAUACCUAACGACCACGUGUACCUGUAGGAAAUUAAGGCAUAUUUGGGUUAUUCUGUAACACAAAGUGCCAAAUGCUUUGUGUUCAAAACGUACAGAAAGAAAUAAAGAAAAGUCAAAUAUCAUCUUCACCUUAUUAUUAAACAAACACAAAUGAUUUGAUCUAAAGCUUGUAAUAGCUGCCAGCCAUUAAGGACUUAAACAAAAAUAAUUAAUCUUUAAUGCAAAAUAGAGUAUUCACUUUCCCUUUAUGCUAAAACAAUUGAAAAGAAAAAAAAAACUAAAGAGAAAUAAAGCAUUUUGGAGGUACUUUUUUGUCAAGAUAGGCAACUCAGCAGAGAAUGAUAAAAGAAUAGUAAGUUAUGGUAAUUAGUUUGUGUUGGAUACUAUACUAAGAAGAAGUAGAAAUGGUGAUUAAUAUUUCAAUUAUUAGUAGUAGUAGUUGGAAUUUGAUGGUGACUGGUUCUAUUGUAUGGCCAUUUGGAGGAAAAGAAAUUGGAGAGAGAGAGAGUGUGUAAAACAGUAGUUAGAAAAGUCAUAAGGCCAGCUGGAGGGAAACUUAGUUUAAGGCAUUAAAAUCUAAAAGAAACCAAAUGAAUAUUUUGAAAUGGUCCCUUAUGACAGCUCCCCUUUAACGACUCAUUACUCUCACUAUAAGUAUAGCUAUUUUAUGUAAGCUUUCAUCAGUCAUCACUAACACAAAACCUUCCCCUCCUCUUUCUCUAUCUCUCUUUUCAGCUUUUCUAAAUAGUGGUGAGGAUACUCUCAGAAGCAUUGGCCAGCUUUUGCCUAUUGCCCAUGACUGCUAGGGGCAGUGACCCCAUAAGGGGUCGGUUUCGGCCGGAAAUGGCCAUGGCAUUGGCCAUUGUUCUGAUUUCUACUACUGUGGUUUCUGUUGCUGCUGAUGGUUACCCAUACAGUUCUCCUCCACCACCAACUUAUGAGUACAAGUCACCUCCACCAUCAACUCCUUCACCACCACCUCCUUAUGAGUACAAGUCACCCCCUCCACCACCCAUUGAACCUCCUUAUGAGUACAAGUCACCCCCUCCACCACCCAUUGAACAUAAGGCUCCACCAUAUGAGUACAAGUCACCUCCACCACCAUCUGCCUCACCCCCACCUCCUUAUGAGUACAAGUCUCCUCCACCACCUUCUUCAUCACCUCCACCUCCUUACUACUAUAAAUCUCCACCACCACCCUCUCCCUCACCUCCACCACCUUACUACUACAAAUCUCCUCCACCACCCUCUCCUUCCCCUCCUCCACCUUACUAUUACAAGUCUCCCCCACCACCAUCACCUGUUUACAAAUACAAUUCACCACCUCCACCAUCACCAACUUAUGUGUACAAAUCUCCUCCUCCUCCAACACCAGUUUAUAAAUAUAAAUCACCACCUCCACCAUCACCAACAUAUGUGUACAAGUCUCCUCCUCCUCCAACACCAGUUUACAAGUAUAAGUCACCACCUCCACCAUCACCAACAUAUGUGUACAAGUCUCCUCCUCCUCCAACACCAGUUUACAAGUAUAAGUCACCACCUCCACCAUCACCAACAUAUGUGUACAAGUCUCCUCCUCCUCCAACACCGGUAUACAAACCUCCAUACUACUACAAUUCACCUCCUCCUCCAACACCAGUUUACAAAUACAAAUCACCACCUCCUCCAUCACCAACUUACGUGUACAAGUCUCCUCCUCCACCAACACCAGUAUACAAACCCCCAUACUACUAUAACUCACCUCCUCCUCCAACACCAGUUUACAAGUAUAAUUCACCACCUCCACCAUCACCAACUUACGUGUACAAGUCUCCUCCUCCUCCCGCACCAGUUUAUAAGUACAACUCACCACCUCCUCCAACACCAGUAUACAAAUACAACUCACCACCUCCUCCAUCACCAGUUUACAAGUACAACUCACCACCUCCUCCAUCACCAGUUUACGUCUACAAGUCACCACCCCCACCAACACCUGUAUACAAACCCCCAUACUACUACAACUCACCUCCUCCUCCAACACCAGUGUACAAGUACAAUUCACCACCUCCACCGUCACCAACUUACGUGUACAAGUCACCACCCCCACCAUCACCUGUAUACAAACCCCCAUACUACUACAACUCACCUCCUCCUCCAACACCAGUGUACAAGUACAAUUCACCUCCUCCUCCAACACCGGUGUACAAAUAUAAUUCACCUCCUCCUCCAACUUACUACUACAAUUCGCCACCACCUCCGGUAAAAUCUCCUCCUCCACCAACACCUUACUACUACCAAUCUCCACCACCACCCAAGUACACUCCACCUCCAUACUACUAUAGCUCUCCUCCUCCCCCUGUUGUGUAUCCCCCACAUCCAUAUCACCACUCAUUGAUUGUGAAGGUAGUGGGUAAAGUCUACAGCUACAAGUGCUAUAACUGGGAGUAUCCUGAAAAGUCUCAUGACAAGAAACACCUCAAAGGUAUAUUACAUUCACUUCUUAAUCCUUAUAUUUUAAUCUCUCUUAUCGACAUCAAUAUUUUUUUAUAGUCAAAUUCUUGCUGGUUAGUUUUACAUUUUUAGAUGAGUUUCAUACGCUCUUUAUAUUAAGUUUAGUUAUUCAUUUUUCAAUCAACUACUACAAAGUAUUUUAUCUUCUGCAUGUACCCUUUACAAAUGAGAACUUACAUAUAUUAAUAAAAACUAACUUUUUUUCACUCAUUAAAGUAAAACAACUUAAUUCCUAAAUAACAUGCAAAUUUUGCUUAGUUCCGACUGCAAGAUGUAAUAAAGGAAAUCAAUAUGAUAGAUAAUAUGACUCGAUAUUUGGAAUUGGAUAAUGCUACAUAAUUACUAUGAUCUACAACACGGAUAGCUAAACUUUACCUUUUAGUAAAACCUUGUAAUGUUUAAUUCUGUCAUUACUUAUAUUUGACUUUACUGUGAGGCUUACGAAUUUCAACUGAUUAUGGGAUAGGUGCUGUUGUUGAGGUCAAAUGCAAAGCUGGAAGGAACAUCAUCAAGGCGUACGGUAAAACUAAGAACAAUGGAAAGUACGCCAUCACAAUUCCAAACUUUAACUAUGUGAAAUAUGGUCCCACAGUGUGCAAAGCCAAACUACAUGCUCCACCUAAAGGCUCUCCAUUCAACAUCCCAACUAAGCUCAAUGAGGGAACCGACUUGUGGGUAAAAUCUAAAGACAAGUAUGAAGUUGUGCUCAAGGCAAAGCCAUUCGCCUAUGCUUCUAAGAAGCAUUAUGAAGAAUGUGAAAAGCCUAAGCCUUCACCAACUCCUUACUACUACAAGUCACCUCCUCCUCCUACACCAACUUACAUAUACAAGUCACCACCCCCACCAUCACCAACUUAUGUGUACAAGUCACCACCUCCACCAUCACCUAUAUACAAACCCCCAUAUUACUACAACUCACCUCCUCCUCCAACACCAGUUUACAAGUACAAUUCACCACCUCCACCAUCACCAACUUACGUGUACAAGUCACCACCUCCACCAUCACCUGCAUACAAACCCCCAUACUACUAUAACUCACCUCCUCCUCCAACACCGGUUUACAAGUACAACUCACCACCUCCACCGUCACCAACAUACGUGUAUAAAUCACCACCACCACCAUCACCUAUAUACAAACCCCCGUACUACUACAAUUCACCUCCUCCUCCAACACCAGUUUACAAGUACAAUUCACCACCUCCACCAUCACCAACUUAUGUGUACAAGUCACCACCCCCACCAUCACCGGUAUACAAACCCCCGUACUACUACAACUCACCUCCUCCCCCAACACCAGUUUACAAAUACAACUCACCUCCUCCACCGUCACCAACAUACGUGUACAAGUCACCACCCCCACAUCACCGGUAUACAAACCCCCGUACUACUACAACUCACCUCCUCCCCCAACACCAGUUUACAAAUACAACUCACCUCCUCCACCGUCACCAACAUACGUGUACAAGUCACCACCCCCACCAUCACCUGUGUACAAACCCCCAUACUACUACAACUCACCUCCUCCUCCAACCCCAGUUUACAAGUACAAUUCACCACCCCCACCGUCACCAACAUAUGUCUACAAGUCUCCACCCCCGCCAUCACCUGCGUACAAACCCCCAUACUAUUACAACUCACCUCCUCCACCAACGCCUGUUUAUAAGUACAAUUCUCCACCUCCACCGUCACCAACUUAUGUGUACAAGUCACCACCCCCACCAUCACCUGUAUACAAACCCCCAUACUACUAUAACUCGCCUCCUCCUCCAACACCAGUUUACAAAUACAGUUCACCUCCUCCUCCAACACCGGUUUAUAAGUACAAUUCACCUCCUCCACCAUCACCAACUUACGUGUACAAGUCACCACCCCCACCAUCACCGGUAUACAAACCCCCAUACUACUACAAUUCACCUCCUCCACCAUCACCAACUUACAAGUACAAUUCACCACCUCCGCCAUCACCAACUUAUGUGUAUAAGUCACCACCUCCACCAUCACCAACUUAUGUGUAUAAGUCACCACCUCCACCAUCACCUGUGUACAAACCCCCGUACUACUACAACUCACCUCCUCCUCCAACACCAGUUUACAAGUACAAUUCACCUCCUCCACCAACACCAGUUUACAAGUACAAUUCACCUCCUCCACCAACACCUAUAUACAAACCUCCAUACUACUACAAUUCACCUCCUCCUCCAACCCCAGUUUACAAGUACAACUCACCUCCUCCUCCAACACCGGUUUACAAAUACAACUCCCCUCCUCCUCCAACACCGGUUUACAAGUACAACUCCCCUCCUCCUCCUCCAAAACACCGGUUUAUCAAGACAACUCACUCCUCCUCCAACACCGGUUUACAAAUACAAUCACCCCUCCUCACCAUCAUCCGUGAUUUACAAGACAACUCACCUCCUCCUCCAUCACCUGUUACAAGUACAACUCACCCCUCCUCCUACACCGGUUUACAAGACAACACCCUCCCCUCCUCCUCUCAACCACCGUUACAAAUACAAACUCCCCUCCUCCUCCAUCACCGGUUUACAAGUACAACUCCCCUCCUCCUCCAUCACCGGUUUACAAGUACAACUCCCCCCCUCCUCCAACACCGGUUUACAAGUACAACUCCCCUCCUCCUCCAACACCGGUUUACAAGUACAACUCCCCACCUCCUCCAACACCGGUUUACAAGUACAAGUCACCACCUCCACCGUCACCAACUUACGAGUACAAAUCUCCUCCUCCUCCAACACCAGUUUACAAGUACAAAUCUCCACCUCCACCAUCACCUACAUAUGUGUACAAGUCUCCUCCACCACCAACACCAGUUUACAAGUACAACUCACCACCUCCACCAUCCCCAUCACAUCCCCCUCCAUACUAUUACAAUUCUCCCCCACCGCCAUCACCAUCCCCACCUCCACCUUACUAUUACCAAUCCCCACCACCACCAUCCUCUUCUCCACCACCUCCUUAUUACUAUCAAAGUCCUCCUCCCCCGUCUCCCACUCCUCAUACUCCCUACUACUACAAAUCCCCUCCACCACCAACGUCAUCUCCUCCACCUCCUUACCACUAUGUGAGUCCUCCCCCACCAACAUCAUCUCCUCCCCCACCAUACCACUACACAUCGCCACCUCCUCCCUCCCCGUCUCCUGCUCCCACAUACAUUUACAAAUCACCUCCCCCACCAGUGAAAUCGCCUCCCCCACCAGCUUACAUUUAUGCAUCCCCACCACCACCUAUCUACAAGUAAGCUCAAAAUGCAGCAACACCGUUCCGUAUAAAUCAUGUAAGUUUAUAAUCUUACAUCCAUAAAUACACAUAUAUUACAACUGCAUGUAUAAAUCUUAGUAAUGCAAAUUAUUCUUUUCAGGUUUUAGUUUUCAUCAAGGAAUAAAUGCUACCUCCAUUUGGAACAAAGUGAAACUACCUUCCAGUCUAAGUUCUUUGAAUAAAAGUCUGAAUCUAUUAUCUCUACG